GGAUUAGUGCGCCGGUCGUGCCUUCGGUAUGUACUGGUGUUACUGGUUCCUACCUUCUGACGAACCGUCAUGUCAUUAAUUUGGUGUGGCGGGGAAUCAGGACUGUUACUUUGAAAAAAUUAGAGUGUUUAAAGCAGGCUCGCGCUUGAAUACAUUAGCAUGGAAUAAUGAAAUAGGACGUUCGAUCCUAUUUUGUUGGUUUCUAGGAUUGACGUAAUGA
rnacentral:rRNA from 1 species